rnacentral:ncRNA from 1 species
UUUUAAGAUUUUUUUUUUCGAGGCCCUGUAAUUGAAAUGAGUCCACUUUAAAUCCUUUAAGGAGGAUCCAUUGGAGGGCAAGUCUGGUGCCAGCAGCCGCGGUAAUUCCAGCUCCAA